GGGGGGGGGGGGGGGGGGGGGGGGGGGGGGGGGGGGGGGGGGUGGGGGGUGGGACUUGUGGCAGCUGGGUGAGCGGCGGACGGGUGGGUAGCGCGGGGGGGGUGUGGCUGUGGGCGGGGGGCGGCAUGGGGAAACGGAUGCUAAUGCCGCCUAAAACCUUUAGACACACGUUGUGCGUUUGAGAGAGGCGAUUGCAGCCCUCAAAGCUGAGCCCGAGGUGUAUUGGCUAGUUGGUGAGGUAAAUGCUCACCAAGGCGAUGAUAAAUUGCCGAACUGAGAGGGUGAUCGGCCACAUUGGGACUUAGACACGGCCCAACCUCCUACGGGAGGCAGCAGUAGGGACUCCUCGGCAAUGGACGAAAGUCUGACCGAGCAACGCCGCGUGAGUGAAGAAGGUUUUCGGAUCGUAAAACUCUGUUGGUAGAGAAGAACGUUGGUGAGAGUGGAAAGCUCAUCAAGUGACGGUAACUACCCAGAAAGGGACGGCUAACUACGUG
rnacentral:rRNA from 1 species